rnacentral:rRNA from 1 species
CAGUAGCCGCGGUAAUACAGAGGGUGCGAGCGUUAAUCGGAUUUACUGGGCGUAAAGCGUGCGUAGGCGGCUUUUUAAGUCGGAUGUGAAAUCCCUGAGCUUAACUUAGGAAUUGCAUUCGAUACUGGGAAGCUAGAGUAUGGGAGAGGAUGGUAGAAUUCCAGGUGUAGCGGUGAAAUGCGUAGAGAUCUGGAGGAAUACCGAUGGCGAAGGCAGCCAUCUGGCCUAAUACUGACGCUGAGGUACAAAAGCAUGGGGAGCAAACAGGAUUAGAUACCCCAGUAGUCCCUGUCUCUUAUAA